UACGUAGGGACCGAGCGUUGUCCGGAUUUAUUGGGCGUAAAGAGCUCGUAGGCGGUUUGUCGCGUCGGCCGUGAAAUCUCCACGCUUAACGUGGAGCGUGCGGUCGAUACGGGCAGACUUGAGUUCGGUAGGGGAGACUGGAAUUCCUGGUGUAGCGGUGAAAUGCGCAGAUAUCAGGAGGAACACCGGUGGCGAAGGCGGGUCUCUGGGCCGAUACUGACGCUGAGGAGCGAAAGCGUGGGGAGCGAACAGG
rnacentral:rRNA from 1 species